UGCAUGAACUUGAUAAACAACAUCAACCAUUUGGACCCAUUGUUGACACAUUGUUUUUCAUACCUGUGUUCACCUAAUUUGUACCCAUAGCAAACGUGUAAAGCUAGCUUAUAUAUAAUUUUUUUCAUAAUUUUAUAAUUAGUCAUUAUAGUUAAUUCCUUAUGCUUGGUUGUAAUACAAUAACCUUCAUUUUGUUUUAUUUAUUAAAAGCUAGCAAAAUUCCUGAAUUCAACCAGCUGAUUUAUCGGAACAGAUGGUGUGAGGCAUUAGACCGACUUCUUGAGACAACUAACUUCCCAGAGUUCACGGUCUGUGUCUUCCCUGCUCCAUGUGAAGGCUCUUGUGUGCUCGGUAUAAUCGAAAAUCCAGUCGCAUCAAUCGAUCAUAAACAAGGAUUUUGAGGAUGGAUUGAUGGUGCCUCGACCAUCCCUCAAGAGAACUGGAUUAAAAUGUAGCUGUUGUUGGAAGUGGUCAUGCUGGAUUAGUAGCUGCCGAUCAACUAAAUAGGAUAGGCCAUACAGUCAUCGUGUUUGAGCGCGCUGACUGAAACAGAGGACUCAUGUUGUAUGGGGUUCCUAAUUUGAAGCCUGACAAAACAACUUGGUUCAAAGACGGGUUGACAUGAUGGCUGAGGCACCUUUCGGUUGGUCUAUAUGGACAUGCUUGUUACGGAUCUAAAACACAGGUGAUACAAAAGUACCGGCAAGGGGCAGAGCGCUGGUUGCUACAAAUUUAAGCAUAGUUGUACAAAUCAAGAGAGCUAAGGGUGAGGCUGAGUCCAAAUACCUCUUUGGUUUGGGUAAUGCAUGUCAACGACAGGAUAUUAUGGAUGGGUUAAGAAGCAUCAAAACUGGCCACUAGUUACAAGUUCACUCUCCACCACAACAAUAACAAGAUGGCCACCAUUCCUAUGGAUGCAAGUUUGCAGCACUUUCACGUUCAGAAAAAGUGAGUUUAUGGACUUGAAGAAAACAUACUAGAAAUAGUUUUUAGUUUAUUUGUACAGUCAUUUCUUUUUGCAACUUCGUAGAUAGGUAUUGAUUAGAAGUUUGUCUUUCAUUAGUAUUCGAGUUGAAAAAUUAUGUACGGAUUUUCAGUUAUGGUUAUUAAUAUCAUUUGUUUUUAGGC